UACGUAGGGGGCAAGCGUUGUCCGGAAUUAUUGGGCGUAAAGCGCGUGUAGGCGGCUUUGCAAGUCGGGUGUGAAAUCCCUCAGCUUAACUGAGGAAGUGCGCCCGAAACUGCAGAGCUUGAGUACCGGAGAGGGUGGCGGAAUUCCCCAAGUAGAGGUGAAAUUCGUAGAUAUGGGGAGGAACACCGGUGGCGAAGGCGGCCACCUGGACGGAUACUGACGCUGAGACGCGAAAGCGUGGGGAGCAAACAGG
rnacentral:rRNA from 1 species